AUGCUUGACUUCUCCAAGUGGAAACGCUUAAAGCAAACUGCAGGUGUGUUCUCUUUAUUAACGUUGGACCUCAAACUACUUCCUUCAUCUGAAUGCCAUCCUCACCUAGACAUCAACAUAAAGGUCUCCAAAGUACAUAUUUAGGAAAAGAGCUUUGGGCAGAAAAGACAGUCAUCUUACACUGAUUCACCAGGAGUUGCAAGAAAAUAUAAGUAGAGAACUAGCAAGAGGUAUGUUGUCAAAAUUUAUGAAUUUACACACUGACUUCUGAAAUAAACUGUGAACAGUAAAUGGCA
rnacentral:lncRNA from 1 species